rnacentral:rRNA from 1 species
AUUGAACGCUGGCGGCAGGCCUAACACAUGCAAGUCGAGCGCGAAAGUCCUUGGAAUGAGUAAAGCGGCGGACGGGUGAGUAAUACAUGGGAAUCUGCCUGGUAGUGGGGACAACGUUUCGAAAGGAACGCUAAUACCGCAUACGCCCUACCGGGGGAAAGGGGGGGGAAGGUCUUCGGACCUCUCGCUAUCAGAUGAGC